rnacentral:rRNA from 1 species
AUUGAACGCUGGCGGCAUGCUUUACACAUGCAAGUCGAACGGAAGCGCGGGCUUCGGCCUGGCGGCGAGUGGCGCACGGGUGAGUAAUGCAUCGGAACGUGCCCCGCAGUGGGGGAUAGCCCGGCGAAAGCCGGAUUAAUACCGCAUACGACCUGCGGGUGAAAGCGGGGGACCGAAAGGCCUCGCGCUAUUGGAGCGGCCGAUGUCGGAUUAGCUAGUUGGUGGGGUAAAGGCUUACCAAGGCGACGAUCCGUAGCUGGUCUGAGAGGACGACCAGCCACACUGGGACUGAGACACGGCCCAGACUCCUACGGGAGGCAGCAGUGGGGAAUUUUGGACAAUGGGGGCAACCCUGAUCCAGCCAUGCCGCGUGCGGGAAGAAGGCCUUCGGGUUGUAAACCGCUUUUGUUCGGGAAGAAAUCCUCUGGGCUAAUACCCCGGGGGGAUGACGGUACCGGAAGAAUAAGCACCGGCUAACUACGUG